GACGAACGCUGGCGGCGUGCCUAACACAUGCAAGUCGAGCGAGAAUUUUUUCAAAUGAUGCCUUCGGGUUGAAUUUGGGAAAGGAAAGCGGCGGACGGGUGAGUAACGCGUGAGUAACCUGCCCAUAAGAGGGGGACAACACAGAGAAAUUUGUGCUAAUACCGCAUAUUGAGUGAGAAUCGCAUGGUUUUCACUUGAAAGAUUUAUCGCUUAUGGAUGGACUCGCGUCUGAUUAGCUAGUUGGUGAGGUAACGGCUCACCAAGGCGACGAUCAGUAGCCGAACUGAGAGGUUGAUCGGCCACAUUGGGACUGAGACACGGCCCAG
rnacentral:rRNA from 1 species